CGGGGAAUAUUGCACAAUGGGGGAAACCCUGAUGCAGCGACGCCGCGUGAACGAAGAAGGUAUUCGUAUCGUAAAGUUCUGUCCUAUGGGAAGAUAAUGACAGUACCAUAGAAGAAAGCUCCGGCUAAAUACGUGCCAGCAGCCGCGGUAAUACGUAUGGAGCGAGCGUUGUCCGGAAUUAUUGGGCGUAAAGGGUACGCAGGCGGUUUAAUAAGUCGAAUGUUAAAGAUCGGGGCUCAACCCCGUAAAGCAUUGGAAACUGAUAAACUGGAGUAGUGGAGAGGAAAGUGGAAUUCCUAGUGUAGUGGUGAAAUACGUAGAUAUUAGGAGGAAUACCAGUAGCGAAGGCGACUUUCUGGACACAAACUGACGCUGAGGUACGAAAGCGUGGGGAGCAAACAGG
rnacentral:rRNA from 1 species